rnacentral:rRNA from 1 species
AGUCUGCAACUCGACUACAUGAAGCUGGAAUCGCUAGUAAUCGCGAAUCAGAAUGUCGCGGUGAAUACGUUCCCGGGUCUUGUACACACCGCCCGUCACACCAUGGGAGUUGGUAACGCCCGAAGUCAGUGACCCAACCUUAGGGAGGGAGCUGCCGAAGGCGGGACUGAUAACUGGGGUGAAGUCGUAACAAGGUAAC